rnacentral:rRNA from 1 species
UACGUAGGUGGCAAGCGUUGUUCGGAAUUAUUGGGCGUAAAGGGCGCGUAGGCGGCUUGUUAAGUCGGCUGUGAAAGCCCGGGGCUCAACCCCGGAGGGUCAGCCGAUACUGGCAGGCUAGAGUACGGAAGAGGUAGCUGGAAUUCCCGGUGUAGCGGUGAGAUGCGUAGAUAUCGGGAGGAACACCUGAGGCGAAGGCGGGCUACUGGGCCGAUACUGACGCUGAUGUGCGAAAGCCAGGGGAGCGAACGGG